GACAUAGAGAAAAAAGCAGCAUCCACAGCCCUAGCACAGAGAGCCUUAAUGACAGACAUAACAGUAAAAUGGGAUGAAUCCAGGAUUUUACAAGAACAACAAGACCCGAGAAAGGGCAAAAUUGCUGAAACAAUCGCCAUAUGUAUGAAUCAGAAGUCUCAAGUUCAACUGAUCAAUAAGAUAGAUCCGAUGACCAUCAGUAUGGCUUGGAAGUCGUGUAAAAUGACUAUACUGUUAGAUGAGAAGGCUAUCUUAAAUUAAUUAUGUUCUUAUAAUUUAUAAACAAGAUGUAUUAUGACUCUAAAUAGGCACUCUUUGGCAGUGGUUCAAUGAUUAAACAGUUUUUAUUGCGUACUAACG
rnacentral:lncRNA from 1 species